rnacentral:rRNA from 1 species
AUUGAACGCUGGCGGCAUGCCUUACACAUGCAAGUCGAACGGCAGCACGGGAGCAAUCCUGGUGGCGAGUGGCGAACGGGUGAGUAAUAUAUCGGAACGUGCCCAGUCGUGGGGAUAACGUAGCGAAAGCUACGCUAAUACCGCAUACGAUCGUAUGGAUGAAAGCGGGGGAUCGCAAGACCUCGCGCGAUUGGAGCGGCCGAUAUCAGAUUAGGUAGUUGGUGAGGUAAAGGCUCACCAAGCCGACGAUCUGUAGCUGGUCUGAGAGGACGACCAGCCACACUGGGACUGAGACACGGCCCAGACUCCUACGGGAGGCAGCAGUGGGGAAUUUUGGGACAAUGGGCGCAAGCCUGAUCCAGCAAUGCCGCGUGCAGGAUGAAGG